GGUGGAGGGGAGGGAGUGGGGACAAAGAGGGCAAGUCCUGGCAAACUGGCAGUGAGCUUCAGGAGACCCUGGGCAGGCGGGGCCCAGGCGUGGGCAGCUCUCUGCAGGACCUUGGUUCUGGAAGAACAGAACUGUUGGCUAAGAUUGAGGCAGGGAUUCAAGUGUAGGUGCAAACACACUCCAGGCCCUGGCAGUGGGACACAGGAUCAUGAGGGUGGAACUGAGGCAGCUCCAUGGCAUGGUGGUUAUGAGCUCGGGCCCCUGAGUGGCACAGAUCACCUUCAUUCCCCUGCCGGUUUGUGAAUAUGGCCAGCAGGGCUACCCCUAAGCUUCAGUGUCCUUACUCGUAAAACGGGGGCAUCAGACCUACCUCACCGGGCUGUGUGAGAUUGAAUAAGAUACAUGUGAAGUGUGUGGUGUGGCACAGAGUGGCAGCUGUUGUAAUCCUAUAUUAGACAGAAGCUUGGUUACUGGAGGAAGCCCAUUGACUAGAAAGGAAGCACAAGGCCGGUGGAGCACCAGCAACCAGAUCCUCUGAAAGCCAACUCCCCUGGGCUUCUGUAUUAUGCCUAGGACAGGACAAGGAGGCCUGAACUUAGGGGGAUGAAGUAACCGCAGCUUUGGGGAGAAAAUGCAGGGGGCAGGGACUUAGGUAGGCUGUUGAUCGCCAGCCCUGACUCCUGUCUGCCCAGUGUCAGACCCUUGCUUGCCUUGACCUCUGGCAUUUGUAGCCCCUUGAGCCCUGUCUCUUAUCUUCUGGCCCUAAGGCAUGGCUCGGCCCAUUCCUACCACCUCUAAGUCCAGGGAGGCUGCCAGGAACCUAGGAGGUGGUCUGGAGUCCUACUGCCCACUCCGGCCCCAGCGUCACUGGCCUAAGGUCACAUGGGAGUGGGGAUUGUUUGGCCUUUCUGGCUUAGGUCUCCGGAAGAGAGACGAACCCUAUGGGGCAGACCCAGGCCACGGGCAGUACAUGCCUGCCACACUACUGACACCACCAGUGUCUUCUGUGAAGCCACCUUUGAGCAACGGAAAGGAAGGGGGAUGGGCAAGCUCAGUGCAAGGUUGGCCAAAAGCCUGGGGCUGGCCUUCUGCUGGCAUGAGAGGGCCAGGCCGCCCCCAGCUCCUUCCUCAGGUCCUGGCCCCUCUGGCAGCAGGGAAGGGUGAGCUCAUCUCUGAGCUCCAUCCCAAACAAAAGCAACUGCUAGAGCCAGCGGAAGGCAGCUCUGCUUCCUGGGGUCCAGUCCUGGCUGUCCUCCUGGGCUGUUCUAUGACCUGGGACAAGCUGUUCAGGGCCUCUGUCUCCUGAGCAGGCUCUUCCCCAGGGGCUGUUCACAGGGAGCUCAGCUGGGAACCAGGGAACAGGGCUCUGAGCACCGUGGGGGACUCGAAACCUUUGUCCGCAGCCUUGUCUCUUGCUCUUUUAACCCCUGUUCUGGGGCUGCAGAGAAUAGGAGUGACCCCUUAAAGGAAAGAGGCCUGUGGGUUGGGUCCAGGAACCAGAAGGAAGGGAAGAGUCAGGGAGCCAGCAUCCUGCUGCACAGAAAUCCAGGAGACCCCUGUAGGGGAGAUGGAGGGAGUGGGGCAGGGGCAGGAGGACUCCCUGAGCUUGUAAGGUGAAGGCAGAGGUAUGAGGAGGAGAGGCCUGCUAUGAGGACCCCAUGCUCCAUGGGCAGGAGGCUGUUAGGGCCUUCACUCUUUAAGAGGGUAAGAGGCAGGGAAGCAGAGUGGUCAGGAAUGCAGUCUCUGGGAGCCAGACUGCCUGGUUUUGAAUCCCAGCUCUGCCAUGUCCUAGCAGUGUGACAUUUUAAAUUCUUCCUCCGGAAGACAGAAGGAACAAUGGCACCUUCGUCAUAGGGAUGGGGGUGAAGAUUCAUGGGGCAGGGUGUGUAAUGCGCUCAUACUGGCUCCUGGCGCAGAAAUAUUACCCUUCAUUAGCAGGGUCCUGUUGAGCUGUGUGUGAGCACCAGCACCCCUGAUAGGGUGUGUUCCUGUAAGUCCCUGGGCCUCUGAGCAAGUCCCCAGCAGUCUACUCAGCUACUCAAGUGGACCUUGUCUCUACCUCAUUUCUUUCUUUUAGGAUCUCCAUAUUUGGUGGUUCCCAUCUCAUUAACUCCCCCAGCCCCACAAAAGGUGACAGCAUUUCCCUUUGCCUCUGUUCUUUUGCCAGUGCUGCCCCUCCCUCUGGAAUAACCUGAUUCCUUCAAAGUUCAGCUCCAUACCUAUCUUCCAGGAAGCCUUCCUUGACUUCCCAGCUGGAGCCAAUCUAAAAAGGGCCCUCAGGAUCGCCCACAAUGCCCAGCUUAGCUUCUUGACAAACACCUUAAUGGCGCAGCAUUGCCUGUUGGCUGCCAUCGGCUCUUGAGUGGGUGAUGAGGACACAGAAGCACAGAACAGUGAACUGAGCUGCUCAAAGACAUCCAGCUAGUAAAAGGCAGACCUGGGACUCACACCCAGAUAUGGAAACUGAGUCCCCAAAAGGGAAAAUGACUUGCCCGAGAUCACACAGAGAUAGUGGAUAAACAAGUAACAAGACCAAGAGUUUCUGACGACCAGUCAAAGUCUUGUUCCACUGAACAUUGUCCAAGGACAUUGGCCUCAGAUACUGAUGUCAUCUGAGCUCCCUCCAAACUCUAUUCACCCACAGGGAAGACUUGAACACCCUAUGAUUCCAAGUAUUCUCCAAUUGACAUCUUCCCCUUCUAACAAAAUUGCAAGCACUUCAAGGGAAAGGCCUAUGACUUGAUUAUUUUGGAAUCUUAGUUAUAUGCUCAGCACUGUGCCUCAGACUUUUGAGGGUAGGAACUAUUGCCUAUAACGCCUUGGAUGACUAAGGGCAGAUGCUCAGUAAAUGGAACCAGUUGCUCUGCUUUAAAAAAAGGAAGAGUUGGGAAGGCAGGGAAGAGAAUUAAUAUGUAUCAAGAACUUAAUAUAUACCAGUCAUUGUGCUGAGAAUUUUCACUUUCAUUAUCUCAUUUAAUUCCCAGAAUUCCUUUAUGGCAUCAUCAAUUUCUGUAUUUUACAAUAGGAAAUUGAGGCUCAGAGAGGUAGGCAACUUACCCUGAGUCUCUUCACAAGUAAAUGCUCAAGUGUGACAUUUCACUGGUGGGUCAUAACCUUCUGGAAUCCAAUAUUAUAAACACAGAGUGAGAGGAAGAAGAGUUCUGAUACUUUCCAGAGGGUAAAACAAGUUUUUUAUUCUCAUUAGAGAACUAUGAAAUUAGUCACAUGAAUUGUGAAAACCUAAGUCAUGGUUUUAUUUGUUCAGUGACAGUGUGGAAAAUGACAUCAAGCUAGAAAAAGAAUAUAAAGGAAAAUUGUGAGUGUUUCAGUCUUGCUCAUAAAGAGAGACCUAUCGUUACCAAAUCCAGGCAACCUGAACCCACCCUUCCUGCAAAAGUUUUAUCUACACUAGAAUUUUGAAUGGGAGACAAAAAAAAUAAGCUAUAGGAUUUAUAAUAUGGAGAAGGUGAGUUUCAUAACAGGGCAAGGCCCAGGUCUGAAAAAUAUUUAGUUCCUGUGCUAGACUGGAAACAGCCCCCUAAAGUCCAGGUCCUAAUCUCUGGAAACUGUAAAUGUUUCUCUAUUUGGAAAAGGGGUGUUUCUUUUUUCUUUUUUUUUUCCAGACGUGAUUAAGUUAAAAAUCUUGGAAUGGGAGUUUUAUCCUGUAUUAUCUGGGGGUGGGGGGGAUGGGGGGGUGCUAAAUGCAAUUAUAAACGUCCUUAUAAGAGAAAAGCAGAAGAAGAUGUGACACAUCCACAGAGAAGGAUAUAUGAAGACACGGGCAGAUACUAGAGUGAUACAACCAUAAGCCAAGGAAUGCGAGCAUUCAGGAGAAUCUAGAGAGGCAAGGGACGGAUUCUCCCCUAGAGACUUUGGAGUGGGUGUGGCCCUGUCAAGAACUUAAUUUUAGCCUAGUGAAAUUGAUUUCAGGCUCCUGACCUCCCAAACUGCAAGAGAAUAAAUUUCUGUUGCUUUAAGCCA